GAACCCCAAGUUGUGGAAAAAGCAAAGAGUAGACGAGCCUCUGGUUGACCCUGAGGUCUCACAUAAGGCUCAAGAGGAGAAUUUUAAAAAGGAGCUGCAGGAACAGUUCCUUGAGAAUAUGUAUAUCGGGAAGGAAUGUAAACAUGCAUGUAAUAAGACUCCUAUAAAACGAACUCAAGCAUAGAAGAAUCGUAGGAGAAUGAUUAGGCAGAUUUUAUUACUAUGUACUUGGCUAUUUCUCUGUCUCCUUUUAAAGAUUAAACAGAAUUUAUGAUGAGUGUCCCACUGUGGAUGUUCAACUUUGACUUGGCAACAUCUGUAAAUGUAAUACCUGAUGGUUAUAAGCAUUUCUCAAUGGAUUUCUGCUUCAGUUAAUCAACAUUUUGUAUACUUUAUCACCCAUGAGAUCAAUAUUCACAUGUAAUCUUCUCAUAUUUUUGUGGCACGUGAAUAUUAUAUAGGUAUAUCAACUAUUGGUAAAAAUAAAUAAAGGCAUAAAU
rnacentral:sRNA from 1 species